AUAGCUGCACCUGCAAAGAAAGCGACUACUUGUUAAUAUGUGAUAUAAUCCAGAAAAGCAAGAGUCCACCCAAAGUCAGAAGAGAAGAAUUCAGAAGAGUAAGGAGCGUCUCCACUUGGUCAUCUCUAACAGACCGGACCCCGCCACUUUGCUAGGAUAUCCCAGAGGAGACCAGAGCAGAAUUCCCUGUGAAGAUAUUGCAAAUGCUGCACCACUUUGACACAGACGAAUAUUGCCUUAAUGCUUUCUCAUUGCAGCUCCAUUCUCAUUCCUCUUGUUCUAAUCUCACUGGGAACAGUAAGAAGCUGCCAUCAUUUUAUGUUAUACUUUUACAUACUUUAAGGUUAUUACUGAUUAAUGAGA
rnacentral:lncRNA from 10 species